rnacentral:rRNA from 1 species
UACGAAGGGGGCUAGCGUUGUUCGGAUUUACUGGGCGUAAAGCGCACGUAGGCGGAUUGGUCAGUUAGGGGUGAAAUCCUGGAGCUCAACUCCAGAACUGCCUUUAAUACUGCCAGUCUCGAGUCCGGAAGAGGUAAGUGGAACUCCUAGUGUAGAGGUGGAAUUCGUAGAUAUUAGGAAGAACACCAGUGGCGAAGGCGGCUUACUGGUCCGGUACUGACGCUAGGUGCGAAAGCGUGGGGAGCAAA